GAAGCACUCGUAUAAUGGUUAGUAUUCCUGCCUUCCAAGCAGGCGGUGCCGGUUCGAUCCCGGUGUGCUUCUCCA
rnacentral:tRNA from 1 species